UACGGAGGGUGCAAACGUUGCUCGGAAUCAUUGGGCGUAAAGCGCACGUAGGCGGCCUGUUAAGUCGGGUGUGAAAGCCCUGGGCUCAACCCAGGAAGUGCACUCGAAACUGGCGGGCUUGAAUAUGGAAGAGGGUCGCGGAAUUCCCGGUGUAGAGGUGAAAUUCGUAGAUAUCGGGAGGAACACCAGUGGCGAAGGCGGCGACCUGGGCCAAUAUUGACGCUGAGGGGCGAAAGCGUGGGGAGCGAACAGG
rnacentral:rRNA from 1 species